GGUGAAGCUCCAGCUUGCUGGAGUGGAUCAGUGGCGAACGGGUGAGUAACACGUGAGCAACCUGCCCCGAACUCUGGGAUAAGCGCUGGAAACGGCGUCUAAUACCGGAUACGCACCAGAGCGGCAUCGUUACUGGUGGGAAAGAUUUUUUGGUUCGGGAUGGGCUCGCGGCCUAUCAGCUUGUUGGUGAGGUAACGGCUCACCAAGGCGUCGACGGGUAGCCGGCCUGAGAGGGUGACCGGCCACACUGGGACUGAGACACGGCCCAGACUCCUACGGGAGGCAGCAGUGGGGAAUAUUGCACAAUGGGCGCAAGCCUGAUGCAGCAACGCCGCGUGAGGGACGACGGCCUUCGGGUUGUAAACCUCUUUUAGCAGGGAAGAAGCGAAAGUGACGGUACCUGCAGAAAAAGCGCCGGCUAACUACGUGCCAGCAGCCGCGGUAAUACGUAGGGCGCAAGCGUUAUCCGGAAUUAUUGGGCGUAAAGAGCUCGUAGGCGGUCUGUCGCGUCUGCUGUGAAAACCCGAGGCUCAACCUCGGGCCUGCAGUGGGUACGGGCAGACUAGAGUGCGGUAGGGGAGAUUGGAAUUCCUGGUGUAGCGGUGGAAUGCGCAGAUAUCAGGAGGAACACCGAUGGCGAAGGCAGAUCUCUGGGCCGUAACUGACGCUGAGGAGCGAAAGGGUGGGGAGCAAACAGGCUUAGAUACCCUGGUAGUCCACCCCGUAAACGUUGGGAACUAGUUGUGGGGGCCUUUCCACGGUCU
rnacentral:rRNA from 1 species